rnacentral:rRNA from 1 species
GGGUAUGGAUCAUAGGUAGCAAAUGUCGCACCUGAUGGUCCCAUAGAUUAGGACAARCGAGGGGUGCGAAAGCCCGGAGUCGCAGUCCUUGUCGGGUCCUCCGGCGGAAGCGGUGACCACAAGGAGGGCUAUAGAUGCGUAWAGUGGUGAUGUGGCCCUUAAGGUGGAGGGAGAUGACGGGAGAUCGGGUUGUCAUAAGCCUACUGUGGAGGGUCAACUCGGCCCUCUAAAGUGUAGGUUGAACUUUUUGGCGGAUGCGGGAGAAAUGCGGGUCAUUUAGGCCUAUUGCGAACGGAGGAUGCAUAAUGGCGCCGACGACCGUGCAUCAAUCGGCUCUGAAUAAGGAGUCCAUGGCAGUAAUAAGAAGGGACUCUUUUCCCCAAAUGAUGGGCUUCGGAAGUAGGGGGUGCGCCGCAGCGACGCAGUCCGAAAGCGGGUAACGCGUUUAAGGAA